AUGAACAGUAAGAAAAUUGUUGGUCCAAUCACAAGGUGCCACUUAUUAGUUAUUACCAAAGUACACUUCAUUGCAUACAUGGUUUCAUCAUCUGACACGUUUGAUUUGCUUUUCUUCUGCUUGCCACGUUCCAACUCCAGGUCCAACAAUUGCUUCACCAUUCAAGAUUGCGGCCAUGUCUGAAACCUUCAUCAAAACCCUUUUCUCAAAUCGCUAACGACGGGGUCCAAUUAGAGUGAUGGCGUGAGCAAUACAAAAGAACUUUUAAAGAAACUAAAUCGAAAAAAAUACUAGCAAAGAUCAACAAGAAAUUCCAAAUUUUCUCCCCAACUCCCACAAGCAACGGUGAAACUGGAAUUUCGUUGAAGGCCUUUCCCUGUUCUGAUUCUUACUUUAAUUGAUAAGGUAUGCUGACAUAUAGGCCCUGUUGCUCUUAUGUUUUUUUACCAUGGAAAUCGAAGCUGUUGUAAUUAGCGGCUUAGGUCAUUUGAAAGCGUCAAUACGAAAUUGUCGAUUUGCUACGCAUCCCCUGAAGAUAAAUUGAGCAUCUAUUAAUUUUUGCCCCACAUCUGGAUAUUUUUGCAGCUUACAAAUUACGGAUAAAUUUUGAUUUAAUGUGGAUGGUGACUUUAUCAUUUAAAUAAGACGCUAGGUCUGUAUAUAAACAUCCAUGCCUUAGAUUUUACAUUUGCUACUGAGAUUUUCAUAUUGAUAUUCUGCUUUCAACUUGAGGAUGUUUUUGAAGUCCUGUACUCCUGGUUUUGGGUGAUAUCAUUUGUACUAUGCUUAGAAUUUUAGUGCGUUGGCAGUCACUAAGCACCCAAGCAUCAGUUCAUCUAAAUGCUAAAUUGAGGAAAUAAGGAAAUCAAUGUACCGUGGAAGCCGAUUUGGUAAAGCAUACUUUUGUGUCUUUGAUUCGUUUGUCUUGCUCCAGCAGAUAUGAUGUGAUGAUUUUCAACCAAGGUCAGAUAGCCACUUAGACUUUCACUCAGCUUGCAGCUAAAUUUUUCUUUGUAACCGGUGAAAUUGCAUAUGGUGGUGUCGGAUUAGAGGUCGCGUAGAUAGCUAAAAGAAGACUAUUGUAUUCUAUUUGCUUCUUAACUAUUUUAACAUGCCAAUGUAAUUAGUGCCUUAGUGGUAAGUUGAUUGUGUCGACGUUUCAAGGGCA